rnacentral:tRNA from 1 species
GCGGGAAUGGCGAAACUGGUAGACGCACCAGACUUAGGAUCUGGCGCCGCAAGGCAUGGAGGUUCGAGUCCUCUUUCCCGCACCA